ACGGGAGGCAGCAGUGGGGAAUAUUGCACAAUGGGGGAAACCCUGAUGCAGCGACGCCGCGUGAGUGAAGAAGUAUUUCGGUAUGUAAAGCUCUAUCAGCAAGGAAGAAAAUGACGGUACUUGACUAAGAAGCUCCGGCUAAAUACGUGCCAGCAGCCGCGGUAAUACGUAUGGAGCAAGCGUUAUCCGGAUUUACUGGGUGUAAAGGGAGCGUAGACGGCUUUGCAAGUCUGAAGUGAAAGCCCGGGGCUCAACCCCGGAACUGCUUUGGAAACUGUAGAGCUAGAGUACAGGAGAGGUAAGCGGAAUUCCUAGUGUAGCGGUGAAAUGCGUAGAUAUUAGGAGGAACACCAGUGGCGAAGGCGGCUUACUGGACUGUAACUGACGUUGAGGCUCGAAAGCGUGGGGAGCAAACAGGAUUAGAUACCCUGGUA
rnacentral:rRNA from 1 species